GUUGUUGCCUGUGAAUGGUAAAGUUGUUGCAAAAAUGGUAAAUGUGUUGCUUUUUUUACCGAUUUGGUAAAGUUGUUGCCCAAAGCAACAACUUUCCAUAUGAAAAUUGGUAAAUGUGUUGUCAUCACCAUUGACAAUACACACGAGCCUGCUCCUGCGUGUAUUAUCGCAUAGACUUUAAAAGAGACUACCAAGGCGCUUGAUGGAUGCGCAUGCUGCAUGCAUGGAGUCCUACAUAUAUAGUUUGACAGAAUGAUGGUGUUAUGGCAGAUGAAUGAGAUGAGAAUUACGAAUGGAGGUGCUCCCAGUGAUUCCAGAGCUGUUCUUCCAAGAGAGUGUCAACUAGCACUGAGCCUGGAUGUAAGGAUGUUCCUUCUGGAUCAAGAAGCGAUUUGAUUGUGGAGCCUGGAUGUAAGGAUGUUCCUUCUGGAUCAAGAAGCGAUUUGAUUGUGGAGCCUGGAUGUAAGGAUGUUCCUUCUGGAUCAAGAAGCGAUUUGAUUGUGGAGCCUGGAUGUAAGGAUGUUCCUUCUGGAUCAAGAAGCGAUUUGAUUGUGCUUACUGUUGUACAAAGUUGGCAACCAAGUAUUGGGGAAGCAGUUGUGCACACAACGUGUCAGCGUAGACUCCUCUAACCAGAUGGAGAGCAGACAAUGAUCAAGCUCAUUUUACAGGCUGCCCUUUCAAAUGCGUCCAAGAUGAAGAAAAGGCCAUUUCGAGCAUUGACCAAUGCUGUGUAUGACCCGAUGUCUAGGAAAGGACCCCUAGGAUGCUCAGCGAAGGCUUUCUACAAACAAUUAAUCAUGUAACACUAAGGAAUCUGUCGCUUGUCAACAAAAUAAAAUGGCAUUGUAUUUUCAUCUGUUCGCCUGUUCAAUGCAGGGACCUAUUUGCCUUCUUUGCAAGGGGGGGGGGGGGGGUUAUGUAUAACCUGUAUUCCCUGGUCCGGGCAAGAAAGUAAUACUGUUCGCCUGUUCAAUGCACGGAGUAGUGUCGCCUUUUUUAUGGCCGGGGGGGGGGGGGGGGGGGGG
rnacentral:lncRNA from 15 species